UACGUAGGGUGCAAGCGUUAAUCGGAAUUACUGGGCGUAAAGCGUGCGCAGGCGGUUAUGCAAGACAGAUGUGAAAUCCCCGGGCUCAACCUGGGAACUGCAUUUGUGACUGCAUGGCUGGAGUGCGGCGGAGGGGGAUGGAAUUCCGCGUGUAGCAGUGAAAUGCGUAGAUAUGCGGAGGAACACCGAUGGCGAAGGCGAUCCCCUGGGCCUGCACUGACGCUCAUGCACGAAAGCGUGGGGAGCAAACAGG
rnacentral:rRNA from 1 species